rnacentral:rRNA from 1 species
UACGUAGGGUGCAAGCGUUUGUCCGGAAUUAUUGGGCGUAAAGAGCUCGUAGGCGGUUUGUUGCGUCGGCUGUGAAAUCCCGAGGCUCAACCUCGGGUCUGCAGUCGAUACGAGCAAACUAGAGUGUUGCAGGGGAGACUGGAAUUCCUGGUGUAGCGGUGAAAUGCGCAGAUAUCAGGAGGAACACCGAUGGCGAAGGCAGGUCUCUGGGCAUUAACUGACGCUGAGGAGCGAAAGCAUGGGGGAGCGAAACAGG